rnacentral:rRNA from 1 species
AGUGAACGCUGGCGGUAGGCCUAACACAUGCAAGUCGAACGGCAGCACAGUAAGAGCUUGCUCUUACGGGUGGCGAGUGGCGGACGGGUGAGGAAUACAUCGGAAUCUACUUUUUCGUGGGGGAUAACGUAGGGAAACUUACGCUAAUACCGCAUACGACCUACGGGUGAAAGCAGGGGAUCUUCGGACCUUGCGCGAUUGAAUGAGCCGAUAUCGGAUUAGCUAGUUGGCGGGGUAAAGGCCCACCAAGGCGACGAUCCGUAGCUGGUCUGAGAGGAUGAUCAGCCACACUGGAACUGAGACACGGUCCAGACUCCUACGGGAGGCAGCAGUGGGGAAUAUUGGACAAUGGGCGCAAGCCUGAUCCAGCCAUACCGCGUGGGUGAAGAAGGCCUUCGGGUUGUAAAGCCCUUUUGUUGGGAAAGAAAAGCAGAAGGUUAAUACCCCGCUGUUCUGACGGUACCCAAAGAAUAAGCACCGGCUAACUUCGUG